CUGUUUUUGGGCAACAGAGUACCUACAGAUUGAGACCAACACGGAUGCCCUCGAUUUCUUUCCAGAACUUGAGAAACAAAUCCGACGGAACCAAAUUUAUGUUGCAAAGUUCAUCCCGUGAAGCCGGUUCUUUGUUGUUCGACCCCGACUCCAUUUUCAACUGCUCGAGAGUCGAGACCGUAAACAAACUACUGUUCAUCCCAUGGGGGUUAUUCUAGGCCUGUAAACAAACCAUUGUUCAUGCUUGAUUUUCCUCACUUCGGAUUGAACGAAGGAAAGAAAGAUAAUAAAAGGUUGAGAGAAACACACUAGUCUUGAAAUUUGCUUUUUAAGAACACUUACGCCAGGUAAGAUUUUUGUUUCAUAUGAAAUCCAGUGAACCCAACUUGUGCAAUUCUUCUUUCGUCCCUUGAUGUGGAAUUCUUUCCUGAAAAUUCAAUAUGGUCGGAUGAGGAAAGUCUCUUGGAGCUGGAGCGUCGAAGAAGGCAACAUCGAGAAGCAGCAAGGCCGAUCUACAGUUUCCGGUUGGUAGGAUCACUAGGUUUCCAAAAGCCGGAAAGUACGUAGAGAGAGUCGCCAGUGCUCCCGUGUAUCUCGCUGCCCAGUUGAGGUUUGGAAUUGGUUAGAAAUGUAGCAAUAGACAAGGAUCAUGCCGAGGCAUAUUCAGUUGGCGGUGAGAAAAGAUGAAGAACUUAGCAAACUUGUUGGGUGCUAUUACGAUCGCAAACGAUGAAGAACCUAGCAAGUUCCUCGUCCGGUGUUCUGUCCUCUCUUCAAAUUCUCAGUAUCUUGCUUUCUCCAUUUACAUUUUAGUAUAUUCAUUGGUAUCCAUGGCGAUUUGGAUUUGGUGGAAGAUAUUUUCCCACAGUUUAAAAAUAAAGGAAUUCUGGCAGAUAA